CCUAGGACCUACAUAAUGUUAUCAGGUAUAUGCUGAAUAUCUUCCCUAGGACCCACAUAAUGUUAUCAGGUAUAUGCUGAAUAUCUUCCCUAGGACCCACAUAAUGUUAUCAGGUAUAUGCUGAAUAUCUUCCCUAGGACCCACAUAAUGUUAUCGGGUAUAUGCUGAAUAUCUUCCCUAGGACCUACAUAAUGUUAUCUGGUAUAUGCUGAAUAUCUUCCCUAGGACCCACAUAAUGUUAUCGGGUAUAUGCUGAAUGUCCCCCCUAGGACCUACAUAAUGUUAUCAGGUAUAUGCUGAAUAUCUUCCCUAGGACCCACAUAAUGUUAUCUGGUAUAUGCUGAAUAUCUUCCCUAGGACCCACAUAAUGUUAUCAGGUAUAUGCUGAAUAUCUUCCCUAGGACGCUGAGGCUUCAAUCAAAGCCUACUUAUGUUGAGCCAGUCUGCGCGACAACUGUGUUUGGGGAAGUACUUAAAGUACAGCCCACGUUUUUGUUCCAGCCUUGAACCGACGCACAUGAUCCCCCCUCACGUAUUUAAUGCAGUCGCAAUUAAGGCUUUGUUUCUCUUAUUUUCAGCUUUAAUCCACCAUUAUCCUACUAGAAUAGUAAACAUUUGCAGGUUUACAGCCCACCUCGGUUGACUUCCAAGCCCAGAUUCAUUGUUUGUUUUUUAGGCUAGAGUUGAGCCUGGGUUGUCUUCCUUAUUUACCCGAGUCAAACACAGCAGGGCCGUGUCCUCCUCCUGCUGCAGGGCCUCACGCAUGGUCUCGUACUGCUGCUGCACACCCGCGUCACCUAGCAACACCUGGGGAGAGGAGGAGUCAGGGUUGACAUAGUGACAGUAUGUAGACAUAGUUGUAUCCAAACGCCUAACGUACAGACACAUCCAGAGUAGUAGUGUGUCUAAUGCAUGGAGCAUCAUGGACCCUGGUCAUGGAGCAUCAUGGACCCUGGUCAUGGACCCUGGUCAUGGAGCAUCAUGGACCCUGGUCAUGGACCCUGGUCACCGUAACACCCUGUAUAUAGCCUCCACAUUGACUCUGUACCGGUACCCCCUGUAUAUAGCCUCCACAUUGACUCUGUACCAGUACCCCCUGUAUAUAAUCUCCACAUUGACUCUGUACCGGUACCCCCUGUAUAUAAUCUCCACAUUGACUCUGUACCGGUACCCCCUGUAUAUAGCCUCCACAUUGACUCUGUACCAGUACCCCCUGUAUAUAGUCUCCACAUUGACUCUGUACCGGUACCCCCUGUAUAUAGUCUCCACAUUGACUCUGUACCGGUACCCCCUGUAUAUAGUCUCCACAUUGACUCUGUACCGGUACCCCCUGUAUCAACAUUUCACUGUAAGGUCUACUUCACCUGUUGUAUUCAGCAUUUCACUGUAAGGUCUACUACACCUGUUGUAUUCAGCAUUUCACUGUGAGGUCUACUACACCUGUUGUAUUCAGCAUUUCACUGUGAGGUCUACUACACCUGUUGUAUUCAGCAUUUCACUGUGAGGUCUACUACACCUGUUGUAUUCAGCAUUUCACUGUAAGGUCUACUACACCUGUUGUAUUCAGCAUUUCACUGUAAGGUCUACUACACCUGUUGUAUUCAGCAUUUCACUGUAAGGUCUACUACACCUGUUGUAUUCAGCAUUUCACUGUGAGGUCUACUACACCUGUUGUAUUCAGCAUUUCACUGUGAGGUCUACUACACCUGUUGUAUUCAGCAUUUCACUGUGAGGUCUACUACACCUGUUGUAUUCAGCAUUUCACUGUGAGGUCUACUACACCUGUUGUAUUCAGCAUUUCACUGUGAGGUCUACUACACCUGUUGUAUUCAGCAUUUCACUGUGAGGUCUACUACACCUGUUGUAUUCAGCAUUUCACUGUGAGGUCUACUACACCUGUUGUAUUCAGCAUUUCACUGUGAGGUCUACUACACCUGUUGUAUUCAGCAUUUCACUGUAAGGUAUACUACACCUGUUGUAUUCAGCAUUUCACUGCAAGGUGAACUGUAACAUUUGAUUUAGAGGGAUACAGGGUGUCUACAUUAUUAGGCUUUUGCGUCAGGUCAGACCUAAAAAAAAAAAAAAAAAUCCCUGGUCCAACUGAGGUCCUGUCCUUCUUACCUGGAAUCUCUGUUUCCUGUCUGUCAUCUCAGUCACUCUGCUAAUUAAAGACUGUUCUGUUCCCUG